rnacentral:rRNA from 1 species
GACGAACGCUGGCGGCGUGCCUAAUACAUGCAAGUUGAGCGAUGAAGAUUGGUGCUUGCACCAAUUUGAAGAGCAGCGAACGGGUGAGUAACGCGUGGGGAAUCUGCCUUUGAGCGGGGGACAACAUUUGGAAACGAAUGCUAAUACCGCAUAAUAACUUUAAACAUAAGUUUUAAGUUUGAAAGAUGCAAUUGCAUCACUCAAAGAUGAUCCCGCGUUGUAUUAGCUAGUUGGUGAGGUAAAGGCUCACCAAGGCGAUGAUACAUAGCCGACCUGAGAGGGUGAUCGGCCACAGUGGGACUGAGACACGGCCCAAACUCCUACGGGAGGCAGCAGUAGGGAAUCUUCGGCAAUGGACGAAAGUCUGACCGAGCAACGCCGCGGGAGGGAAGAAGGGUGUCGGAUCGUAAAACUCUGUUGGUAGAGAAGAACGUUGGUGAGAGUGGAAAGCUCAUCAAGUGACGGUAACUACCCAGAAAGGGACGGCUAACUACGUG